rnacentral:rRNA from 1 species
UACAGAGGUCUCAAGCGUUGUUCGGAUUCAUUGGGCGUAAAGGGUGCGUAGGUGGCGCUGUAAGUCGGGUGUGAAAUUUCGGAGCUUAACUCCGAAACUGCAUUCGAUACUGCGGUGCUUGAGGACUGGAGAGGAGACUGGAAUUCAUGGUGUAGCAGUGAAAUGCGUAGAGAUGCGGAGGAACACCGAUGGCGAAGGCAGCCCCCCUGGGCUAGCACUGACGCUCAGGCACGAAAGCGUGGGGAGCAAACAGG